ncrna:unclassified sequences S4-Flavobacteria ribosomal protein leader
UGUUAUCGGAGGAGUUAGACCUUAAUUCAUAACA